UACGAAGGGGGCUAGCGUUGUUCGGAAUUACUGGGCGUAAAGCGCGCGCAGGCGGUCUUCCAAGUCAGUGGUGAAAGCCCGGAGCUCAACUCCGGAACUGCCAUUGAAACUGUUAGACUUGAGGAUGAGAGAGGUGAGUGGAAUUCCGAGUGUAGAGGUGAAAUUCGUAGAUAUUCGGAAGAACACCAGUGGCGAAGGCGACUUACUGGACACAUAUUGACGCUGAGGUGCGAAAGCGUGGGGAGCAAACAGG
rnacentral:rRNA from 1 species